AGCAGUAGCCACGGGAAUACGUAGGUGGCAAGCGUUGUCCGGAAUUAUUGGGCGUAAAGCGCGCGCAGGUGGUUUAAUAAGUCUGAUGUGAAAGCCCACGGCUCAACCGUGGAGGGUCAUUGGAAACUGGGAGACUUAGAGUGCAGAAGAGGAGAGUGGAAUUCCAUGUGUAGCGGUGAAAUGCGUAGAUAUAUGGAGGAACACCAGUGGCGAAGGCGACUCUCUGGUCUGUAACUGACGCUGAGGCGCGAAAGCGUGGGGAGCAAACAGGAUUAGAUACCCCGGUAGUCCCUGUCUCUUAUA
rnacentral:rRNA from 1 species